rnacentral:rRNA from 1 species
GACGAACCGUGCAAACGUUGUUCGGAUUUACUGGGCGUAAAGCGCGUGUAGGCGGCUUGGCAAGUUGGAUGUGAAAGCCCUUGGCUCAACUGAGGAAGUGCACCCGAAACUGAGUGGCUUGAGUACUAAAGAGGGUCGCGGAAUUCCCGGUGUAGAGGUGAAAUUCGUAGAUAUCGGGAGGAACACCGGUGGCGAAGGCGGCGACCUGGGUAGAUACUGACGCUGAGGCGCGAAAGCGUGGGGAGCAAACAGG